rnacentral:rRNA from 1 species
AUACGGAGGAUCCGAGCGUUAUCCGGAUUUAUUGGGUUUAAAGGGAGCGUAGGUGGAUUGUUAAGUCAGUUGUGAAAGUUUGCGGCUCAACCGUAAAAUUGCAGUUGAAACUGGGAGUCUUGAGUACAGUAGAGGUGGGCGGAAUUCGUGGUGUAGCGGUGAAAUGCUUAGAUAUCACGAAGAACUCCGAUUGCGAAGGCAGCUCACUAGACUGUUACUGACACUGAUGCUCGAAAGUGUGGGUAUCAAACAGGAUUAGAUACCCUGGUAGUCCACACAGUAAACGAUGAAUACUCGCUGUUUGCGAUAUACAGUAAGCGGCCAAGCGAAAGCAUUAAGUAUUCCACCUGGGGAGUACGCCGGCAACGGUGAAACUCAAAGGAAUUGACGGGG